CCUACGGGUGGCAGCAGUGGGGGAUAUUGCACAAUGGGGGGAACCCUGAUGCAGCGACGCCGCGUGGGUGAAGGAGCGUUUCGGCGCGUAAAGCCCUAUCGGCAGGGAAGAAGGAGGACGGUACCUGACUAAGAAGCCCCGGCUAACUACGUGCCAGCAGCCGCGGUAAUACGUAGGGGGCAAGCGUUAUCCGGAUUUACUGGGUGUAAAGGGGGCGUAGACGGCGAGGUAAGCCUGAAGUGGAAGCCCGCGGCCCAACCGCGGAACUGCUUUGGGAACUGUUUUGCUGGAGUAUGGGAGGGGUAAGCGGAAUUCCUGGUGUAGCGGUGAAAUGCGUAGAUAUCAGGAGGAACACCGGUGGCGAAGGCGGCUUACUGGACCAUAACUGACGUUGAGGCUCGAAAGCGUGGGGAGCGAACAGGAUUAGAUACCCGGGUAGUC
rnacentral:rRNA from 1 species